GCACGGGGGCAACCCUGGUGGCGAGUGGCGAACGGGUGAGUAAUACAUCGGAACGUGUCUUAAAGCGGGGGAUAACGCAUCGAAAGAUGUGCUAAUACCGCAUAAUCUCUANGGAGGAAAGCAGGGGAUCGNUAGACGUUGCGCUUUUAGAGCGGCCGAUGCCUGAUUAGCUAGUUGGUAAGGAAUUGGCUUACCAAGGCAACGAACAGUAGCUGGUGUGAGAGGACGACGAGCCACACUGGGACUGUGACUCGGCCGAGACUCCUAGGGGAGGCAGCAGUGGGGAAUUUUGGACAAUGGGCGAAAGCCUGAACCAGCCAUGCCGGGUGAGUGAAGAAGGCCUUCGGGUUGUAAAGCUCUUUCGGUCGGGAAGAAAUAGUUGUGUCUUAUAUCCUCAAUGAAUGUCGGUACCGACAUAAGAAGCACCGGCUAACUACGUGCCAGCAGCCGCGCUAAUACGUAGGGUGCAAGCGUUAAUCGGAAUUAUUGGGCGUAAAGGGUGCGCAGGCGGUUGUAUAAGUCAGAUGUGAAAUC
rnacentral:rRNA from 1 species